UUGUUCGGAUACCAUGGGCGUAAAGCGUGCGUAGGCUGUUUCGUAAGUCGUGUGUGAAAGGCAGGGGCUCAACCCCUGGAUUGCACAUGAUACUGCGAGACUAGAGUAAUGGAGGGGGAACCGGAAUUCUCGGUGUAGCAGUGAAAUGCGUAGAUAUCGAGAGGAACACUCGUGGCGAAGGCGGGUUCCUGGACAUUAACUGACGCUGAGGCACGAAGGCCAGGGGAGCGAAAGGGAUUAGAUACCCCUGUAGUCCUGGCAGUAAACGGUGCACGCUUGGUGUGCGGGGAAUCGACCCCCUGCGUGCCGGAGCUAACGCGUUAAGCGUGCCGCCUGGGGAGUACGGUCGCAAGAUUAAAACUCAAAGAAAUUGACGGGGACCCGCACAAGCGGUGGAGUAUGUGGCUUAA
rnacentral:rRNA from 1 species